CCUACGGGAGGCAGCAGUGGGGAAUUUUGGACAAUGGGCGCAAGCCUGAUCCAGCAAUGCCGCGUGCAGGAUGAAGGCCUUCGGGUUGUAAACUGCUUUUGUACGGAACGAAAAAGUCUGCCCUAAUACGGUGGGCCCAUGACGGUACCGUAAGAAUAAGCACCGGCUAACUACGUGCCAGCAGCCGCGGUAAUACGUAGGGUGCGAGCGUUAAUCGGAAUUGCUGGGCGUAAAGCGUGCGCAGGCGGUUAUAUAAGACAGAUGUGAAAUCCCCGGGCUCAACCUGGGACCUGCAUUUGUGACUGUAUAGCUAGAGUACGGUAGAGGGGGAUGGAAUUCCGCGUGUAGCAGUGAAAUGCGUAGAUAUGCGGAGGAACACCGAUGGCGAAGGCAAUCCCCUGGACCUGUACUGACGCUCAUGCACGAAAGCGUGGGGAGCAAACAGGAUUAGAUACCCUGGUAGUCCACGCCCUAAACGAUGUCAACUGGUUGUUGGGUCUUCACUGACUCAGUAACGAAGCUAACGCGUGAAGUUGACCGCCUGGGGAGUACGGCCGCAAGGUUGAAACCGUUAAAGGAAUUGACGGCUGGNGAGNGCGACGACGACGACGAGGGAGGAGG
rnacentral:rRNA from 1 species